AGGACCCUGAAAUUCCUCGUUUCGCUGUAAUUGGCGUGAAAUUCUUCAUUUCGCACUUAAAAACAUUAACUCCACUCUCCCAAAUAGCCAAAUCCAACGGCUACAAUUUCACUUCCCUAUAACUAGGGUCAGUCACCCCAAUACUCGCUUUUAAAAAAGGAGAAAUGCUAGUGGCAGUUGAGCCCCUAGCAUUCCUCUUAAAUCUCCUUUAUAGACCAAAAGUCGUUCCCCGUUUUUUGUAUUUUUUUCCUUCUCUCUCGAAAGGAAAAGAAACCCUCGAUUUCAGAAAGAGAUUGCAAAAUCGUCGAAGCUGGUAUCGUCCGAUGAAGCCCUAUCCAACGGCUUCAAUUCAUCAGAAGAGGAGCGAAUCGACGACCAGAUCAACGACGACGAAGACGACGAAGAAGAGCUCAAAGCCGUUGCUCCCUCUGCCGCUGCCUCCGUCUAAGACGAUGACGCCGCAGCUGAUGAUAACACUGACGAUGCUGACGAGCUAAUUUUUUUAUUUUCCCCUCUUUAACGUGCUCUCUUUAUUUUGCUUUCGAAUUUUUACUAUUUUGGUUGUCGGAUCUAGCUUUUUGCUCGUUAUUUCUAGUUUGGGUUUGCUAAUGAUCGUAGAAUUUGUCUUUACACUUUUGAAUAAUUUUUGCUUCUAUAGUUUUUAAUAGGUUGCUGAGAAGCUUAAUUUAAACUCUAAUGUUAUUUAUAUUUAGAUUUUAUGAUGUUUGAGUCAUUUCUUUUCUGUAUAGGAUAAGUCUAACGGGGCUGAUAAGCAAGAAAAGGAGAGGCUAAAAGAUAUGUAUAAACUGAAGAAGAAGGAGAUUCAGGAUAUAUUGGAUGCUGAAAAUGCUGCCAUUGAUGCUGAUGGGGUGCAUAUUCUAUGUAAAGGUUCGCAUUCAGCUAAUUUUAAGCGUAAUAUAUGGUUCACUAAUGUUUUGUUUCAUGGCAGAAUAAAUGGCGGAAAGGGUGGUUGAAGUAUGUUUUGCAGCAAACGGAGUUGUUUGCUAAUUUUGCUAAAGUUGACCAAUCCGACAUCACAAAAGAAGGUGAAAGGAAGGCUCUGUCAUGCAUAAAAAAUAACUGAAGAUGAAGAAGAUGAAGAGUGCCUCAAGGAAUAAGUAGAUGGUUUUUCCACUAAUUAUCGUAUUCUUAUUACGGGUACGUUGCUUCAGAAUAAUCUCCAUGAGCUUUGGUCUCUUCUCAACUUUUUUACUGCAGGAGAUUUUUAGUUGAGCUGAAAAUUUUGAUGAGUGGUUUCAGAUUUCUGGUGAAAAUGACCAGCAAGAAGUUCAAUAAUUUCACAA